CAUGACGUAACGAAGUUCAACUGUAUUCCGGAGAUCCACCAACGGGUCCUCGUCGAGGACCAGGAUGUCAGCCAACUUGCCUUCCUCUAUUGUGCCCAGAUCCUUACCGAAGCCAAUCGCCUCGGCACCGUAGAUCGUGGCUGCCCUCAGGAUGUCGUGAUUGGAUGCACCACCGGAACCCAUGGCCCACAUCUCCCAGUGAUAGCCCAAUCCCUGUAGCUGGCCGUGACUGCCGACCGCAACGCGUGCGCUGUCUUCUAGCAUCUUCUUCACGAACUCCGCGUGCCUAGGGAAUACGUACUCCUCGUCGAGGAACCAUCCCGCCGGUCCCGGACUACCACCGGUGCCGGUGCCGCGGCGCCGGCUGCGCGCGUCAAUGCUUUCGUGAGGCGAGAACCGUCGCAUCUUCUCGUUGUCGUGCACGUUCUCCUUGGCGUAGAAGUAGUUCUCGCCGAACGGCCCACCGUACGAGACGAGCAAUGUCGGACUAUUGGUGGU
rnacentral:rRNA from 1 species